GUGCGGUAGCACAAUUUCAUGCGUCUGAAAGUACAACAUUCAUGCUUUCUAACCGAUUGGUGUACAUUUUUAAACUUAAUUCUUCCGCAUGUCCUUUUUGCGUGAACAGGUGAAUAAAACAGGACUUCUUAAUUUCACACAUUGUGAGCAUUUUUACACUAGAUUUUUUUCACCUGUUGUGUUUGCAUUUCCAAGUGUAGGAAACGCGUGUCUUCUGUGAAGUUACUUUUCAAAGUAGGAAUUUCCCUGUUGAAGGACAAUUAUAUGGUUGAUUUUCUCUUUUCCAAAAGCCAUAAAGCUUUUCGUAAAGCCUUUAAAUUUAGAAAAAUAUAACUGUUUUAAUAUACAGUAUAUAUAAAUAUAGAAGCCUACUGAUUGAUUCCUUCAAGCAAGCUUAUGAUCAAAAAACAUCGAUGGAGGAGCUCCUUCGCUAACGUUACCUAUCUCAAUCGGCUUCAACGUGGAGACUGUGACUUGCAAGAACCUGAAGUUCCAGGUGUGGGAUCUUGAUGGACAGACGAGUUUCAGGGAAAUGCACGAAUAGUCACCAUGCAGUAUGUCUGAAGUUGGGAAGCAGCCUCAACUGGGAAACACAAAUGGGCUGUUCACACAAGCCAACACUUUUCGAGUGAAACUGUGGUAUCCAGUCACGACCAUAUUCUGUAAUAGUCAGAUUCAGUAAUAGUCUGUCAUGAAUUGCUUUGUCUUGAAAUCCAUUUUCCUUACCUUAUCCUGACAAGGAUUUUUUGGAACCUUUAGAUAGAAAUGUAUUGUGUGGAACAAACAAGCCUCACUGACUGUAGAAUAACAAAUCAUGUCAGCCUUAUUUAUAACAUUUCUAUUGGCAACAUUUGCCUACUGAAAGUGCCCCUGGAAAUCGAGGGGUACAAUCAGGGGUGUAUUCAUUACACAAAAUCUAUUGCAAAACGUUUAGUCUGUCACAAAACGUUUUGUAACAGAAACCGUUUACUGCCGAUGCUGUUCAGUUCCAUUUUGUUCUUAACUCCCUUUCCUCUACUAUUACUUUUCCUAGCUUCCUUUCCUCGUUUCCUUUCCUAUUGUUUGUGUUUCCUUUCCUGGAUUGGGAUUGGGAUAUUUUAAAUUGCUAUUACUUUUUUUUACAUUUGUGAAUGAUGUAUGCAAGGUGGCUGACUGUACAUAAAAAAGCAAUUUUAUGUCAGUUCUAAAUUUAAAUUACACUUCAAUUGUUGUGGCAAUGAGGGCUUCAAAUAGUGAUCAAAUAAAAUAAGUGUAUUGGUCGCAUACACAGUUUUGUACGUCAAAGAGCAUUUGGAAUUUUACACCAGUGACAAAGUGUACACACUACUUUUUUCCCCAAUAUAGUGAUUUCUUUUUAAUAAA